rnacentral:rRNA from 1 species
UACGUAGGAUGCAAGCGUUGUCCGGAAUUAUUGGGCGUAAAGAGCGCGCAGGCGGUCUAUCAAGUCAGAUGUGAAAUAUCCCGCUUAGCCGGGAGGGGUCAUUUGAAACUGGUAGACUAGAGUACAGCAGAGGAUAGCGGAAUUCCCGGUGUAGUGGUGAAAUGCGUAGAUAUCGGGAGGAACACCAGUGGCGAAGGCGGCUAUCUGGGCUGAAACUGACGCUGAGGCGCGAAGGCUAGGGGAGCAAACAGG